rnacentral:rRNA from 1 species
AGUGAACGCUGGCGGUAGGCCUAACACAUGCAAGUCGAACGGCAGCACAGUAAGAGCUUGCUCUUACGGGUGGCGAGUGGCGGACGGGUGAGGAAUACAUCGGAAUCUACUUUUUCGUGGGGGAUAACGUAGGGAAACUUACGCUAAUACCGCAUACGACCUACGGGUGAAAGCAGGGGAUCUUCGGACUUGCGCGAUUGAAUGAGCCGAUGUCGGAUUAGCUAGUUGGCGGGGUAAAGGCCCACCAAGGCGACGAUCCGUAGCUGGUCUGAGAGGAUGAUCAGCCACACUGGAACUGAGACACGGUCCAGACUCCUACGGGAGGCAGCAGUGGGGAAUAUUGGACAAUGGGCGCAAGCCUGAUCCAGCCAUACCGCGUGGGUGAAGAAGGCCUUCGGGUUGUAAAGCCCUUUUGUUGGGAAAGAAAAGCAGCAGGUUAAUACCCCGCUGUUCUGACGGUACCCAAAGAAUAAGCACCGGCUAACUUCGUG